UGAAAAUUUUCUGAACGCUCCAAGUCUUCUUCUUUUCUGUUGUGCAUGCAGUGGUAAAACUUACUAUGGCGUUGUAGAACAACCAAUAGUUCGAUGCCCAUUGUGCAAGUGUAUAACUAUGAUGUCACCAUGAUUUUGUUGUGGACUAAAAUGUUCGGAGAAUGAGUUGAUGGAAAGCAAAGAAGUUCUGGAUGGGCUGAAGGUCUAAGGAAG
rnacentral:sRNA from 1 species